rnacentral:rRNA from 1 species
AUUGAACGCUGGCGGCAUGCUUUACACAUGCAAGUCGAACGGCAGCGCGGGCUUCGGCCUGGCGGCGAGUGGCGAACGGGUGAGUAAUACAUCGGAACGUGCCCAGUAGUGGGGGAUAGCUCGGCGAAAGCCGGAUUAAUACCGCAUACGACCUGAGGGUGAAAGCGGGGGAUCUUCGGACCUCGCGCUAUUGGAGCGGCCGAUGGCAGAUUAGCUAGUUGGUGGGGUAAAGGCCUACCAAGGCGACGAUCUGUAGCUGGUCUGGGAGGACGACCAGCCACACUGGGACUGGGGCACGGCCCAGAGCCCCGCGGGAGGGCAGCGGUGGGGAUUUUGGGCCAAGGGGCGAAACCUUGCCCCAGAAAUGCCGGGGGUGGAAUGAAGGCCUUCGGUUUUAAAAGCCUUUUUGGCGGGAAGAAAAAGGACGGUGCCAAUACCACGGUUCGGUGAGGGUCCCCGCAAAAAAAGCCCCGGCAAACUACGU